UACGUAGGGGGCAAGCGUUGUCCGGAUUUAUUGGGCGUAAAGAGCGUGUAGGCGGCCAGGUAGGUCCGUUGUGAAAACUCGAGGCUCAACCUCGAGACGUCGGCGGAAACCCUCUGGCUAGAGUCCGGAAGAGGAGAGUGGAAUUCCUGGUGUAGCGGUGAAAUGCGCAGAUAUCAGGAGAACACCCAGUGGGCGAAGGCG
rnacentral:rRNA from 1 species